UUCAAAUUAUCAAGAGUCACCAUGAUCAGAGUUCUAGUCUUUUACCAGUCACUGUACGUGAUUCAAGGAGUUGCAGGAGUAAAUGAUGUCACUCAGUCCCCUACACUCUGGGUUAAUACGGGUGAAUCAGCCAUAAUAAACUGCUCACACACCAAGGGUGCACUUUACAAUCAGAUGUACUGGUUCCGUCAGUAUCAUGGAGAGAGCAUGGAGCUCAUAGUGUACACUACCAGCUACACCACUCCGGACUUCGGAAAGUUCGACCAAACCAAAUUCUCAGCUAAUAAAACAGUUCCUGAGAGCGGCUCAUUCACAGUGAAUAAUGUGGAUUAUAGUGACAGCGCUGUGUAUUUCUGUGCCGUGAGAGAACACAGUGUUAUAACCACAGGACAGAGCUGUACAAAAACACAGUGUGUGUGUCUCAGUCAGGAGGAAAAGUAA